AAUGCUUCGUGUAUUUGUCAUAAGCGUAAAAUAGGAGUGAAAGAAAAUUUUAUUGAUGUUCUGUUUUAGUUUACCAGACUUUUUUUAAUCCUCGAUGCAAUGGAGCUUUCUACAGAUCCAUAUGAACUUAAAUUAUUUCAGAUGUUUCAAAGUUGUGUUAAAGAGCAGUGUGGUUUACUGGAUGAAGAUUCGUUACAUCGUUUGUGCAGCCUCUUGGAGCUUCAGGACAAAGGUGCUGUGCUGAUUGCGGAUUUAUCUGGCAACGGUCGUGUCUCAUUUGAUCGUUUCAAAGAAGCUCUAUUAAAAUUUCUUGGUGCGGAGCUGGAGUUAGAUACAAAAGAACCAGUUUCAGAUUCGGGUACAUGCACUCGCGGUGAUAAAGCCAUUGCACCAGCGUCGUUCGUCAGUACCAGUAACAGUAGCGAUUUAGCAGGUGCCUCAGAGCAAACUCUAGUCAUAUGUGAUGUGACCGAAGGAACUAAAUCGUUGGAUAGUGACUGCCAAGCAUCCGAUCGAGAAGUUUCACCAAAGCUAGUGAUGGGGACAAAAAAAUAUGGUCGACGCUCGCGACCCACAGUUCAAAAUACAUCGCUGACAGAUUCUGAAGAUGAUGUUCAUCAACAUGAUCAUAGACUAUGCGAUGUAAAUUUGCACCACGGUAUUUCAUCAGUGCAGCGUUCUUCUUCACAAACUGACAUUCCUAAUAAGGGAAGGCGACGACCUCCUAAAAUGAAUGAUGAUAUUAAGCUUAAGCGUUGUUCAUCUUUACCUACUCACCGAAACUUUGCUUCAAUCAUAAAAAAAAGUCAACUUGGAAACGAUACGGUGUCGUUAUCGAUUUGGGACAAACAUCAACAAAAACAAGCCCUAAGUGAUCCGCCAAUUUCUACAGAAUCAAAAAUCCUGCCUGCCAACAGAAUAUUAGAUAUAUUUGGACGAGCGCAAAUUGCUAAUGGGAGGGGCAUUUUGCUCGCACUCGGAUUCGAUGAUGAAGAAGUAGAUGUAACCCAGUUGAAUAAAGUUUUAGAAGAAGAACUACGUGGUUUAGAGGAUGAUACACAGCUGGCAUUAGUUCGUGCCUAUAUGGCUAUGCAGAUAUCAGAAGUAACGAGUUUACGUCAAACAGUAUGCCAAUUGUAUGAUGAAAAUAAAAAGUUACAGACCAGCAAUAAAGACGCGAAUCAUCGAUUAUCCUUACUAGUUACUGAAGUCGAUGAGCGGCAAACAUCUUUGGAAGAUUCCGCGAAAAAAGAGAUACGCGUCAUGGAGCAAAGGCAUGCGACUUUGAUCCGUGAAUUGUCAACACGAAUGGCUAACGAUCGGGAAAAUUGGAGUAAUUUUACGUCUCGUCUUGAAGCAAAAAUCAAGCAACUUGAGCAAGAAGAAAUUAAGUAUAGGACAGAGCUGGAACUAGUACGAAAAGAAAAUUGCGAUUUAGAAUGUGAGCAAAAAAAAAUGCAGAAACAAGUCACCGAACUACUCGAAAAGAAUGUACAACUAAAUCUACAUGUAGCAGAAUUAAAAAAGGUUAGAAGUAAAGAAGUUAGUGAUAUUAGAAAUGACCAGAGAAGUGAUGAAGACGGAAAUGUAGCCCAAUUGGUAGAAAAAAUGUCAGAAUUGCAAAUUGAAAACAAAAAUUUACGAGAUAAGACCGAUGAGCUAAUCGCUGAAAUCGAGUCAAUUAAUUUAGAGCUAUUGCGUGUAAAAUCGAAGAACAAAAAAAUCCGACCUGUAAGUAACACGAAGACGUCUACAGCGAUAGUUGUUCCCUGUGCUGUUUUAGAUGAUGCUGAGCUGGGAGCUAAUUUGACUGCUACUAAGCGCCGCGGUGACUCUCCCAGUAAAUCACAUAUCACAGAAGAAAGCCCUCGAUUGGGUAAGGUGCGGAAAUGUACAGACACAACGGGCAGUGAGACCAGUGAUACCAGCGGUGAGUGGAUGGCACUCAACUCUGAGUUGCUUGAUUCAGAGUCACCUCGGAGUUUAAAAGAAGAUAAUACUAAAGAAAUAGAAGCAAAACAAAAAAGUAGUUGGACUUCAAGUGAAGGAGAUUCAACAGAUGAACGCUGUAAAGAAUUAGAAGCCAGUUUGGAACAAAUGCAACGCGCAUACGAGGAUUGCGAGGAUUAUUGGCAAUCGAAGCUAGCUGAAGAACGGAAGUUAUUUGAAAGAGAACGGCAAAUUUACGAAGAAGAACAACAGGAAAGUGAUAAAAAAUUCACUGAGUUGGUGGAAAAAGUUCGCGAAUAUGAAGAACAAUUCAGUCGUGAUGAUAGACUGUCUCCCAUAGAGGAAAAAGAUGCUUUAGAGCAGCAAUAUGCAGAUUUAGAGGCAGAGGCAAAUGAUUUACGAGAGACUGCGAGAAAAAUGUUCGAUGAAAAGUGCAACGAAAUCGAUUGCUUACAACGAGAAAUCGAGGAUUUACGUACGAGAUUAGGCGAAAGUGUGGAAAUAUUAACAGGUGCAUGCGAGUUAAAUAACGAAGCGAUGGCAGUGAGUGCUAUGCACAUUAAUGUGGAUAGACACAGUCCGGCUAGUUCACCGAUUAGCUACCUUUGGCAUCAGAGUACCAUACAAGAACCAGCUAAGAACUACAAUACAGCUUUUCUCUCACCGGAGUCACCUAAUCGACAAGCUAAACGAAAUAAUCUCACAACGUCUGAAACUACAAUAUUUAGUACCACUCCAGUGGACACCAUCGCACCUAUUGAGAAGCCUGCGGAAUCAAAUCAGUUUGAGUGGGAAACAGAUGAUGUCUCUUCUACAGCAUCAGCCAAAAGUUCCGCAGGCAAUAGUCCUGCGUCAACAAGUAGUGCACAUCAGUCACACACACAGCAGCAGUGCAAAAAGUCGCGUAGUACCGAAAAUAGUGUAUCUGGUCUGGCUAUAAAGGAAGAGUUAAAGCGAUUAAAAUUCUUCGAAAUAUCUUUAAAGGAACAAGUUAAGAACUUAUCUUUGCAACGAGAUGGAUUGGUUAUGGAACUGCAGCAGUUGCAAGAGGCCCGCCCUAUGCUAGAAAAGGCGUUUGCGCGUACCUUACAUCCAAGUAUUACACAGCGCGUAAACCAACUGGAACUACGAAAUCGUCAUUUGCAAAAUGCAAUCAAGCAACAGCAACAACAAACAGAAUCCCUAAUGCAGCGUUCCUGGCAGCAACAUCAAAUGGAACUCGCAGACUUGCAUAAUCGAAUCGAAGCGCAGGGAUCAAUGAUCGCAGAACAAGUGCAGCGUUUGCAAAACGCAGAUUUGCUUGUUAAAGACUUGUACGUGGAGAAUGCUCAUUUAGCCGCCACAGUACAACGGUUGGAGCAGAAUCGUGCUCGCAUGACUAUGAUGCACCAGCAACGACAAGGUUUGAAUGGAUUGCCUGGAAUGCCUUAAUCAUUUUGGUGUAAUGUUAUCCAUAAAUUUAGAGGCGAUUGAAUUACGAAAUAUUUUCUAUGAGUAGUUGAUAUCAUCUGUACACAAAAAGUACUACUAUUAUUCUACAAAAUGCCGAGUCCUCGAAUCUAACAUUUGAAGGGUAAGAAUAGUUCUAAAUAGAGCAAACAGUAUAAACCAUUAAAGGCGUUUUUUGUGAAACUAAACGCGAAAAACUUAACAUCUUGGCGCAGUACUAAGAUCAAGUUCGAGUUCUACGCAGAAAAUUACUUCGGAAACGACCUACAGCUGCACAGCAUCAGAAACUUUAAAAUCUGUAUUCAUAAUUAUCAUGUUCUUAAUUUCUUUGAAUUACUUGUCAUAUCGCAAAACUACUGAAUUCAUGCUACUUAUUGCAUAAAACACACUAAAAGCGAUUUAAAUACCUAAUUAUAAUCUUAUCGCUACACGUAUAUCGCACAGGUAACGUAACAGUCUUUUUCUGUAACGUACCAGUCCGACUAUUUUUUACAAAUAUUGACCUCAAAAUUAGUUUUAUCAGUUCAAUUAAUACGUAGUUCUUGAAUGCCAUCCUGAAGCUAGGAAACUGUGUACCAACUUUUGAAAACAUUAUAUUAGGAGAGCACACUUUUUCAAUAAUAUAAAGCAACUUUAAAAAGUACUUUCAAAAAUUGUAAUGCAACAGUCCGCUGUUGAAACAUUCAUAACUCCUAAACCACAGGAGUUACAAUAUAUUUUUGUAUAUAUUAAAUAAUGCUACAUACUUAUGCUUUCAGGUGCAAGAAGAA